rnacentral:lncRNA from 1 species
UGGCUUUUACACGGGUGGUUGGCAUCUGAGCUCAAUUCUUCACUUUACCUGCAGCACAGAACCGUAAUGUAGCAAGCUAAAGCAAAAAGCCGAAGGAUGAGUGGCUUUACCCACAGAGGGUCACUGUCCGACCAUUGGAGGCCUGGAAUUCCAAGACCAAGGUGUCAGCAGAAUCUGUUUCUCCUGGGACCACUCUGCUUGGCUGCCUUUCCCAUAUGUGUGUGUCUUGACCUCCCCUUUUAAGGACACCGGUCAUAGUGAAUCAUGGCCCGCCCAAAUAAACUCCUGUUACCUUGAUCAUUUUUCUUUCUGUGUGUGUGGAGUGUGUGGGCAUGUGCCCAUGUGUUCAUAUGUAUGCAGGUGUAUGUGCACAUGUAUGUGUGUGGAGGCCUGAGGCUGGUUUCAGGUGUCUCCCUUGUGAACAUCCUGCUCACCGAUUCAGGUGGUUGAGCUAGCCAGCUCUCCCUGGGAUCCUGUCUGCUUCUCCAGGGUUCCAUCAUGCCAUUGGGCUUUCAUGAGCACACUGGAGCCUGGAGCACAUCUCAGUGCUGUGGCACGAUGCUUACACUGAGCCAUUUCCCCAGUCCCCCUCUUUGCUCAUCUUUAAUCUUUUCAAAAAUUUAUUUGUAAUUAUGGGGGGGGGUGGAGUAAUGUGCGCCCGUGUGCAGGUGCUUUCAGAGUACAGAGGUGUCGGACCCCAGCUGUGUGAGCUGCCUGACCUGGGGACUGGCAACCGAGCUUGUGUCCUCUGUAACAGCAGUAUGUACCCUACUGAGCCACAUGUUUCUUUCUGGGAUUAUAUUUUUAUCUUUUUAUUUGUGGGUUGGGGUUGGGAGUUCAAGGUUCACAUGUCGUGGAAUUCAAGGACAGCUUGUAAUAACCAGUUCUCUCCUGCCACCGUGUAAGUCCGAGGGAUUGAACUCAGGUCCUCAGGCUUGGCUACAGAUGACUUUCCCCACGAUGUCAUGUGACCUGUCCUUGCCCGUCUUUUCAAAGCACCAUCUCCAAAGGCAUUCAGGUUCUGAUGUAGCGGGCUUAGGGCUUGAAAGCAUGAAUUUGAGGCACUAAAACAAAGAUGCCAGCAUGGUAAAAACAGUGACGCUAGGUGAAGUGUCCAGCGGCUGUCCCAGGGCUCCUGGAGAUCAGGGUGGCAAGGAAGGAGACUUGGCUCUCAGAAACUCCCACAGAAGUUUGAGAAGUUCCCGGUUCUACUGCGUGAAGGGACAUCAGUGAAAGGAACAUAUCUUCCCAACAGUGUGUCAGCUUCUCUGGAAAUGUAAAGAACAUGCUAGAGAGAUUUUGGAAAUACAGUAGCCCUCUUCAAA